rnacentral:rRNA from 1 species
CAGUCGCCACGGGAAUACGUAGGGUGCAAGCGUUAAUCGGAAUUACUGGGCGUAAAGCGUGCGCAGGCGGUUUGUUAAGACAGAUGUGAAAUCCCCGGGCUCAACCUGGGAACUGCAUUUGUGACUGGCAAGCUAGAGUGUGGCAGAGGGGGGUGGAAUUCCGCGUGUAGCAGUGAAAUGCGUAGAUAUGCGGAGGAACACCGAUGGCAAAGGCAGCCCCCUGGGCCAACACUGACGCUCAUGCACGAAAGCGUGGGGAGCAAACAGGAUUAGAUACCCCUGUAGUCCCUGUCUCUUAUAC